AACGCGAAGAACCUUACCAGGCCUUGACAUGCAUCUCUAAGUUGGUGAAAGCCAGCGAGUGUCGAAAGACACAAUUUGCACAGGUGCUGCAUGGCUGUCGUCAGCUCGUGUCGUGAGAUGUUGGGUUAAGUCCCGCAACGAGCGCAACCCUUGUCCUGUGUUGCCAUACCGAAAGGUGGAACUCGCAGGAGACCGCCAGGGAUAACCUGGAGGAAGGUGGGGAUGACGUCAAGUCCUCAUGGCCUUUAUGUCCAGGGCUACACACGUGCUACAAUGGACGGUACAAAGGGCUGCCAACCCGCGAGGGGGAGCCAAUCCCAAAAAACCGUUCUCAGUUCGGAUUGCAGGCUGCAACUCGCCUGCAUGAAGCUGGAAUCGCUAGUAAUGGCGGAUCAGAACGCCGCCGUGAAUACGUUCCCGGGCCUUGUACACACCGGCUAC
rnacentral:rRNA from 1 species